rnacentral:rRNA from 1 species
ACGGAGGGUGCAAGCGUUAUCCGGAUUCACUGGGUUUAAAGGGUGUGUAGGCGGAUAUUUAAGUCAGUGGUGAAAUCUCAAGGCUCAACCUUGAAACUGCCAUUGAUACUAUUUAUCUUGAAUAUCGUUGAGGUAGGCGGAAUAUAUCAUGUAGCGGUGAAAUGCUUAGAUAUGAUAUAGAACACCGAUUGCGAAGGCAGCUUACUAAACGAUCAUUGACGCUGAGGCACGAAAGCGUGGGGAUCAAACAGGA